AGAGAGACUGCCAGGGAUAACCUGGAGGAAGGUGGGGAUGACGUCAAAUCAUCAUGCCCCUUAUGCUUAGGGCUACACACGUGCUACAAUGGGUAGUACAGGGGGUUGCCAAGCCGUAAGGUGGAGCUAAUCCCUUAAAGCUACUCUCAGUUCGGAUUGUAGGCUGAAACUCGCCUACAUGAAGCUGGAGUUACUAGUAAUCG
rnacentral:rRNA from 1 species